AAAGCUUUCCAAAAUUUGGCCAGGUGUUUCCCAUGUAUAUUCCUUUGCUACUUAAUGUUCAACAUGCCCAAUUUUUCGUCUCUUUUUCAUUCUUUCCAACUGAUAUUGGAAAUCUUGCUAUGGAUGCCAAUUUGCAUUUUUUCUGCGAAUAAAAGCUGCUUUGGCUAGAAUGAAAUUGUAUCACAUGAUGUGAUUCAUGUUUGCUGUUGAUUUUUCUGUGGAAACUUACAGUAAAAGCUACAGUUUUUGUGCAUGCUUGUGUGUUUACUCAUUAUCACCAGUUUGCACUGCAAUACUCCCUGUUAAGCACCAGUGAGUCUGAGUUCAUGCGUGAAUAUAUAGACCAUAUAGACCAAAUGAAAAUUUGAAGCCUUCUCUUUAGUAGAAGACAGACAGACAGUUAUCCACACGAGUUGGGCUUCAAAUAUGAGCAAGAUAUAGACCCUGAAUUUUUUGUAUCAAUCACUUCUCUUGUGUCCCUUUCUACCUCAGUAAACUUUUGGGAGGCAGAUUAUAUUCCUCUGGCUUAUAUAAUGUAUGAUAUGCAUCUAUUCAUGAUUGCAUGGCAGAAAGAUGGGAAGGCAAAGUGGAGACCUUAAUGGACUAUUAUUUUAUUCAUUCAAGUAGUUAAGUAGUUGAAUCUCUUGCAGUAUUGAUUCUUUUGAACAUACUGCAAUAAUUUGGAAUUUAUUAUUCAA
rnacentral:misc_RNA from 1 species